rnacentral:rRNA from 1 species
GUGAGGAAUAUUGGUCAAUGGGCGGGAGCCUGAACCAGCCAAGUCGCGUGAAGGAAGAAGGAUCUAUGGUUCGUAAACUUCUUUUGCAGGGGAAUAAAGUGCAGGACGUGUCCUGUUUUGUAUGUACCCUGAGAAUAAGGAUCGGCUAACUCCGUGCCAGCAGCCGCGGUAAUACGGAGGAUCCGAGCGUUAUCCGGAUUUAUUGGGUUUAAAGGGUGCGUAGGUGGUUUGCUAAGUCAGCGGUGAAAGUUUGCAGCUUAACUGUAAAAAUGCCGUUGAAACUGUCGGACUUGAGUGUAAAUGAGGUAGGCGGAAUGCGUGGUGUAGCGGUGAAAUGCAUAGAUAUCACGCAGAACUCCGAUUGCGAAGGCAGCUUACUAAGCUACAACUGACACUGAAGCACGAAAGCGUGGGGAUCAAACAGGAUUAGAAACCCGGGUAGUCC